rnacentral:tRNA from 1 species
AAUAUGAUGCCUGAUAAAAGGAUUAUCUUGAUGAGAUAAUUAUGGUUAUUUUCUAACCUCAUAUUA